GAUGAAGAACGUAGCGAAAUGCGAUACGUAAUGUGAAUUGCAGAUUUCAGUGAAUCAUCGAAUAUUUGAACGCACAUUGCGCCCGCCAGUAUUCUGGCGGGCAUGCCUGUUCGAGCGUCAUUUCAACCAUCAAGCCUUCGCUUGUGUUGGGGCCCCGCGGCUGCCGCGGUCCCCUAAAUCCAGUGGCGGGCUCGUCGUCGUACCGAGCGCAGUAGACAUCCUCGCUCCGGGAACCCGACGGGUGCCGGCCGUGAAACCCCCCACAUCAAGGUUGACCUCGGAUCAGGUAGGAAUACCCGCUGAACUUAAGCAUAUCAAUAAGCGGAGGA
rnacentral:misc_RNA from 1 species